rnacentral:rRNA from 1 species
UACGUAGGGGGCAAGCGUUGUCCGGAUUUAUUGGGCGUAAAGAGCGUGUAGGCGGCCGUACAGGUCAGCUGUGAAAACUCGAGGCUCAACCUCGAGACGUCGGUUGAAACCGUACGGCUAGAGUCCGGAAGAGGAGGGUGGAAUUCCCGGUGUAGCGGUGAAAUGCGCAGAUAUCGGGAGGAACACCGGCGGCGAAGGCGGGUCUCUGGGCCGAUACUGACGCUGAGGAGCGAAAGCGUGGGGAGCGAACAGG